rnacentral:rRNA from 1 species
UAGGUAAUCUUCCGCAAUGGACGCAAGUCUGACGGAGCAACGCCGCGUGAGUGAAGAAGGAUUUCGGUUCGUAAAACUCUGUUGUUAGAGAAGAACAGCGCAUAGAGUAACUGUUAUGCGUGUGACGGUAUCUAACCAGAAAGCCACGGCUAACUACGUGCCAGCAGCCGCGGUAAUACGUAGGUGGCAAGCGUUGUCCGGAUUUAUUGGGCGUAAAGCGAGCGCAGGCGGUCAAUUAAGUCUGAUGUGAAAGCCCCCGGCUCAACCGGGGAGGGUCAUUGGUAACAGGUUGACUUGAGUGCAGAAGAGGAGAGUGGAAUUCCAUGUGUAGCGGUGAAAUGCGUAGAUAUAUGGAGGAACACCAGUGGCGAGGGCGACUCUCUGGUCUGUAACUGACGCUGAGGCUCGAAAGCGUGGGUAGCAAACAGG